GCCGGGCAUGGUGGCGCAUGCCUGUAGUCCCAGCUACUCAGGAGGCUGAGGUGGGAGGAUCAUUUGAGCCCAGGAGGCGGAAGUUGCAGUGAGCCAAGAUUGCACCACCGUACUCCAGCCUGGGCAACAAGUGAGAUCCUGUCUCAA
rnacentral:SRP_RNA from 1 species